rnacentral:lncRNA from 1 species
CCCCAAAAAAGGCAAACAAACUCUGCCUUAUAGUUUUCUAGAACUGACUAUGUUGCAGGUGGUUUAAUACCAAGUGUCCUUUUGUUUAGAAAUUAAGGCCUCUUCCUUAUGGCUAGGCAGACAGAUCUGUGAAUAAUGGACUUUUUUCCCCGAUACUAGAAACUUUUUUUAAAGCUAUUCAGAGAGACCUUGGCAAAUAUUUCUCUGUCAGGCAGUAAUUGAAUAAAGUCCCAAGUUACUUGAUGCUGUCCCUCCCUUUUCCCCUGAGUUUAUUGUAUGCUUUGCUUUUUGCCUAUAAAUACCACAGAGAUAGCUAGACAGGGAAACCUUUUUUGAGAGGUGAUAUUGUCAUCUGGCAGCUACCCAGUAAGGGCCUAUUGGCUGUAAGUCAGUGCUGAGCUUUCCUGAGAGAAGGAAAGUCUAAUGUUAGUUAAAAAAACAAACAAACAAACAACAACAACAAAAAAAAAAAACCCGACAACAAAAAACCUAAAACCUCACUGUCUUGUGUUUGCUGUUUAAAGGGAAAGGAACAGAGAAUGUUUUAUCUUCCUGUAUAAGCAGACACGGACAGACUUUAAUGCUGCAGCUGAAAGCACUUCCUAAUCCCUUUUAUCACUGGGGAUUCUGUAGAGCUGUGGAUGGUACUCAGUGGCAGAUAGACAAGAGCCAAGCAAACUGGCAGCCGAAGUGCCAAGAGCAGUUCUCGGUGUUUGCCUGUGCAGUGAGCUCCACGUGCUGGGAGUAGACACUUCUCAGUACUCUGCAUCUGCUUGACUCUGAGCCUGCAUCUUCCUUGACUCUGUGCUUCAGCUGCAACGCUGCAGUUAAAACGGGUAGGCCAGAGAGGUUUGUGAUGUUCACUUGUAGCUACAAGAUGUCUUUCAUGAGAUUGUAACUGCUAUAUGAGCUGCCAUCCCUUUCUCCCAUCUAUCUCAUUUUUUGACCAUUCAUACUCUGAUGCCUACAUCUUGAACACAGCAGUGAGAUUUACCCCAGUUUCUCUUACACUGUAUUUUCCCAAGAUAUUUCUGGUUUGCACCAGGAUGAAGAGGAUCAGAACUCACGUGAGCCGGGAGAAGGAAAUAAUAGACUGGGAUGAGAAGUGUCUGGAAAAAGGAAAGCUCAUCUUCAUAUCCAGAAGUUUAUCAUAUCACUGAAAGGAGUUCUCAUCACCCUGGGAAGAAGAAAUUUCACUGCAAUUCAGACAUCUUUAUGACAUAUUAGUGUACCAUGGAUUCAGACAUGCCAUGUCCUACCAACCCAAGAAACUUCAACCAGUAAGUGUGUUUCUUGUUAAAUAUUGCACCCUAAGUGGUGUGAAACACACUUAGGUGUUUCAUUGGGGUGUUUUUAUGUCUCCUGAG